UUCAACAUGUUAUGGUUAUAAUAAGUGUGUCUUAUUCCAUUGAUCAUCCUAUUGGUUUAUAUUUCUCUGUCAUUAUUUUACAUUUUGUACAGAUAAGAAUGACCACUGCUUGAUAACAUGGCUGUGAAUACAUUACAGACUGUUCUGCUUUGCCAGCUUGUGUAAAGUCUUCCCAUCUCAUGUUUUCUUAUUUUUCAUAAUGGUAAAAAGAGCAUGAUAAUGACCCAUUUUGUUAUGUUAUUAUACCUUCCAGUACCUCAAAGCCAAAGAUCUUCCUCAGCCCAGUCUAACAGUGAUUCCUGCAGUCAUCAAAGAGAGAGACUCAGUUCAGCUGAACUGUCAGACUCCUCCAUCUGUCUUUGAGUGUUACUUCAAAAUAGAGGGGAAAGUAGAAUUCACCCUUCCAUCACCCUGUCAACAGACACUCACAGGAACACUACUGGUGAGGUGGACAGGUCAGAGUUCACCAGCUGAGGUCAAAAUACAAUGUCAGUACAGUGCUAAAGGUUCACAGUUUAGAUCCAUAUACAGUGAGCCGUCAACAGUCACAAUUACGGAUCUUCCUCAGCUGACAGUGAGUUCUACAGUCAUCAGAGAGACAGAAUCAGUUCAGCUGAGUUGUGAGACUCCUCCAUCUCUCCCUGUGUCUCACUGUUACUUCAACAUAGAGGGGGAGAAGAAUCUUCCAGACUCAUUGUGUACUCAGACAAUAACAGGAACUGAGCUGCUCAAGAGGUCUGGUCCAACAUUUCCAGCUGUGGUCAAAGUGACGUGUUACUACACUGUAUGGAAGUCUCACACAUCUCCUUUUAGUGACCCUGUCUCAGUCAUUGUUCAGGAUCCAAAACCAGACAUUACAGUCAAUAUUGAUGAGGACUUCAACAUCAUCUGUUUGAUUCCUGGAUCCGUCAGUCCUGACACCACC